rnacentral:lncRNA from 1 species
GGGCUUGGACUUUUUAUUUGAUUUAUUUAAGGACUUAGGCACUCUAGGGAUUGUAUCUUUUAACGGAAUAGAUGAAAAUUCACACUUUUCGACUCUUUGGAGGCAAGAUUGGAUGCAGGAGCACUCCUCUUCGGUUUUUAGGGUUUAUCUUUCAUUAUAUUGCCAUUGUACAUCUAGUUUCUCCAUGACAAUGGAGAACUAAUUUUUAUUUGUUGUUGGGG